GAGGUCUAACCUGCCCAGUGAUAUUAAUUCAACGGCCGCAGUAUACUGACCGCGCUAAGGUAGCACAAUCACUUGUCUCUUAAAUCGGGACUAGUAUGAAAGGACCCACGAGAGUCUAACUGUCUCCUCUUUUUAAUCCGUGAAACUAAUCCCCCCGUGAAAAAGCGGGGAUCGUACUAUAAGACGAGAAGACCCUAUGGAGCUUUAGAUAAAACAAUAUUUCUUUUUUUCCCCCCAUUUCCAGAAAAAUACCCCACAAAGCACUUUAUUGUUAAACUUCGGUUGGGGCGACCGCGGAGUAAAACUAACCCUCCGCGCUGAGUGGGAAUUUCCCCCCACAACUAAGAGCUACAACUCUAUGAACCAAAAAUUGCUAAUUGACCCAAUGUUUGAUCAACGGAACAAGUUACCCUAGGGAUAACAGCGCAAUCUACUUUGAGAGUCCCUAUUGACAAGUGGGUUU
rnacentral:rRNA from 1 species